UGACGAGGCGAUGAAUCGCAUGUA
rnacentral:siRNA from 1 species